AGCUCAGCUGGUAGAGUGUUUGCCUACCAUGCAGGAAACCCUGGGUUCCAGUCCCAG
rnacentral:tRNA from 1 species